rnacentral:rRNA from 1 species
GAUGAACGCUGGCGGCGUGCCUAAUACAUGCAAGUCGAGCGAACAGACGAGGAGCUUGCUCCUCUGACGUUAGCGGCGGACGGGUGAGUAACACGUGGAUAACCUACCUAUAAGACUGGGAUAACUUCGGGAAACCGGAGCUAAUACCGGAUAAUAUAUUGAACCGCAUGGUUCAAUAGUGAAAGACGGUUUUGCUGUCACUUAUAGAUGGAUCCGCGCCGCAUUAGCUAGUUGGUAAGGUAACGGCUUACCAAGGCAACGAUGCGUAGCCGACCUGAGAGGGGGAUCGGCCACACUGGAACUGAGACACGGUCCAGGCUCCUACGGGGGGCAGCAGUAGGGAAUCUUCCGGAAUGGGCGAAAGCCUGAAGGAGCAACGCCGGGGGAGUGAUGAAGGUCUUCGGAUCCUAAAACUCUGUUAUUAGGGAAGAACAAAUGUGUAAGUAACUAUGCACGUCUUGACGGUACCUAAUCAGAAAGCCACGGCUAACUACGUG